AAAGUGCCAACUUGGGUUAUUUCAUUCACUAAACGAAGCCACGCAUUAUAUUACGGUAAGCUAUGCACUUAUAGCACCUGGUGUGUUUUAUUUAGUAUAGAUUUUUUAGUCUCUGCGUCGCAGUAGCAGGGUUUUUAUAAGAGAACUACGUCGUCACGCGUCAGCACACGGCACGUCGCGAUGACUCAACUUGGCCAGGCACCCCACGUGACCACGCAUGACCCAAUAGAAUCACGGGAGUGAAGCUUACCCUUAUUUGGAAGUUUGCGGCCUGUCAUCGGCUGGCGUGUGCUCUUGGCGCGUCGAAUUUGCACAUUCAAGCGUCCCUGCGAAAGGCCGAUUAGCAACUUGCGCUAUCGUUCCGACUGUGACGCAAUAGCGGCCGCUUUUCAUUCGCCGGCGGUCUCCUUCGGUCGCUUGGUCAAGUCAUGCCACUUACUUGGAGCUGUAUUGAGAUGGCUUGCUGCCUAUCAACCUCGAUUCGUCUGGUAACCCCCCUGGUCAAGUGCUGCAGUCAAUACUCUCAUAUUUUUAUCAGUAUAGUGAGUGAAGACCUAAGAACACCUUAAUACAAUGCCAAAUACACUGCGUUUCAGCGUAAAGUGAAUUUGUGUAAGUAGGCCAGCUGAUUGUGUUCACUUAUUUACAUGAUGUCAUGGUGAAGGGGAACUUUUUUUCAGUAUCGGUGUCUCUUCGGAAAUAUGUCUCGAGCGUAAGGCACACAGGGCAGUCCAGGGCUGAUUUUUGGGCAGAACUAGUAUUGAAUCUUUUAGUUAUCACUGAGUAGGGAUGUUUCUAGGUGCAAAAACAGUACCAUAAGUAUGCUGUUUACCUUCCAUCUGGACAUGUUACCUACCUGUUGUUAGUGGAGUGAUGAUCUACAGUUCACCACUUCCAAGCUGUUAGUUUUUUAGUUUGUUUGUGUAAGAUGUCACUCUUCACUAUAACAAUAUUUUAAUGCUUAUACUCUAAAAAAUGUUUACAUUGUUUGGGGGGCACUUUGUCCUCAAACAAUAAUUGUGAUAUGUCUUGGUUCUGUUUCCUUUCUUGAAAACACUACACUCAUUACUUUCUUGUCAAGAAUGCUAUAAACAAGCAUGCCGCUUGUGACCUGCAAGUACUGGCCGGGCAGCGUGACAGAAAUGAAAGGCUCAUAAGAUAGAUGCCGAUUAUUGUUUACUAUAAGUACUAUAAGGUCCAAACUUUUAGAGUUUCUGUGGGCUUAGGCCCAUAGUUGUCAUAAAUUGCGAUGCACCAUACUUUCAGCAGUGGCUUUUAAGAAAUAACUUCUCUAGACCUUCUUCAGAUGUUUCUUUUCAUGAUUACAACUCUUCCAUCAAAUGUGUGCAUGAGUAUUUCAACAUAUGCAUCAAAUUGUAGCACACUGACAUUCCCUACUGCAGUGUUGAACACACUUGUCACUCAGUCGAUGAUCUGUUUUUGGUAAUAGAAAUUGUACUUGUUGCUACAGUCUCUACAACCAGAUGUUCCUGCUAAUGCUUUAGGUAUUUUUUUACAGACAGUGCUGUAGAGAAAGAGUUUAUUUCUUUUGGCAUUGCCUCAUUCGCAGCAGCGGGCGUCGGAAAUUCUGUAAUUGCCAGUAAACCAUUUUAUCAGGCGAUGUUUUUAAAUGUUUUGACUGAAACUGGUCCACCUCAAGGUGUGUCAAUUUAGUAGGAGUAACAAGACAAGCACCAGUAAUGCUAAUACUUAGCUGUUGCAUGUAAAAUUUUCAUACAGGGGCUUCUGUGUGCACUGGAGCGCAUAGACAGUGAAAUGUCAAUGUCUUUCAUGCCGAAAUUCAGGAACACAUUCCUUAAGACUGGUGCUAGUCUCGGGGAUUCUACUAAACACCUACUGAUUAAGCAUGGGUUUCAAUUCCAUAAUGACAUGUGCAUUGAUCUCAUUAGUUAAUGCUUUAGUCAAUGAAUUUUGGGCAGUUAUAUCACAGUACCUCAUUUACACUGCCACAAAUAAUGUAUUGCUUAUGUAAUAGCCUGUUUUCAGUUGUUGCACUGUCCUUAUUAAUUGAUGUGUUUGCUGAGAUACCUGGUCUAUCAUAGUGUUUGCCCAAGCUUGAUGAAGUAUCAGUUGUUGAGGGAGCAUUGAUGGAGCAACGAGUGUGCAUUCAGACUUGAGGAAGUGGGGGGAAGGGGUCACAAUGACUGCAUAACACAUGCAUCAAGUGCAUAGUGAUUUGCGUACCCUGUCUUGAUUAAACGGUUCGGCAACAGCAUUUGUCCUGGCUUUUAUCGUGACUUGGAAUUGUCAAAGCUGCUACAGUUUAGCUUCAUUACAAUGAAGUCACAUCUAAGACGAAAAUACCUUUGCAAUAUUCAAUAAUAAUUAUAAGUGUACAUGCACAUAUCAGCUUAUAAGGAUAUAGUGAUACUUAGUAAUAUCUGAUAAUUCUUAAUAUCCACGAUCAUUAUGUCAAAGUUAGACUGUAUUCUGGCAAAAUAAUGCCAUGUCCUUGUGCUUGAGCCAAUCAGACCAGUGAGGGUGGUAAAUGUCGCCGUGGCAAAAUGUCCGUAGCAGCAUCCCAUAGUGAACUGCAUCACGACAAAGACGUCAUUUAUUUCAAAGUACGUUACAGGCCCCAUGAGGAGCAUUGAAUAAGGGGGGCAUCAUUGCAAGUCAGUUGUACAUGUGAAUACCGCAAAGAUUUGUAUAAAUCAUUGUUACAAAACAGUAUCACUGAUGAAGAUGUGCUAAUGAGCGAUACAUUUAAAUUUACCGCACAUAUAAUCAAAAACUUUUGAAUAAGAAGUGUAAUUUAAAGCAUGAAAAUAAAAGGACAAUACUAACUAUACUCAAAUAAAUUACAGUUUGGGGCGCUUUACAAAACAUCAGAUCACUUCUACCAUUGCUUAUGCGCAUAUUCAAUCAUUGUGUGAGAAAAAGUGUAGUUUAAAGAAUGAAAGAAACGAAAAAUCACCGUGACGUUACAUAGGUAUACAGAACAUGACAUACGGAAUAACACAUUUUUAAGACAGAAACUGCAGUUCCCGGAGUUGUCUUAAUUUAUCUCCAAAUGUUUACAUGACAGUACUAUCAGGAAGCGAAUUCCACAAGCGGAUGGCUCGUGGCAAAGCCAACAGAUUACAUCCAUCCGUGUUUCCGUAGAUGCAAGUAAAGCUUAACUCAUUAUUCAGUCGUGUCAUGCAACUUGCAUGUUGCACCAGCAAAGAUGACGACUUAAUUUGAUGAACAUAUAUGGAGCAAGGAUAGUAAUGCCACGUCAUGAAGACCACUUAGUGCAUGAAGCCAAAUGUCAAGUUUGAUUCUAGUUAUGCUUGACUGCCAAUUGUAAUUGCGGUAAAAGAAUCGACUAGCUCAUGAUAGCCAAGUCAUGCUUGACUUGGCUAAAUCACUUCAACUAAAUACUCCACAAAAUAUAUGUACAUAUAUUGGCUGUACUUGUAUGAACAUACAAGGUGUGAUCUUGUGGAAUGAAGUUCAACUGUGCAUGCAACUUGCCUCAGAUUUCCUUUAGCUUUUGUAAAGGUGUUGAGUACAAGUCAGUAAGUUUGUUUCACACUGCCAAGGAGUAAUCAAGGAAGCUUGAAAUGUUGGCUCGUGCAGCUAGUGAAGGCAGAUGCAGCAAUGCUCCAUGCUUUUUUUCUCGCUUUAACCUUACAUCUUAGUUCUAAUGCACUUAAAAGUUACAUGACAGCAAAGCUCAAUUUUGUGUUGCAGUGUUUGUGUGAUAAUAAACAAUAGACACAUCUCCUUGUGCAACUGCAUGAUGAUACAAGCAUUGUCCUAACCUUGUUUUUUGUAACAGUAUUCAAGAGCUUUAGUGUAUACCUAUGAGCUUUUAAUUUGGCCAUCACAAGGAACACAAAUGACUUUUACUCUUGCGACAGUCAUUUUGGGAUGGUUUCUUCAAUGAAUUCAGCCAUGACCUGUUAUUAGAGGAGCACUGUAGGGAAACGUUUCGCACUGUUCUGUCACCUUCUCCCUUCCUUAAUUCCUACGAUUUGGCACAAAAAUGAUUUUUUAUUGUCUAAUUAAGUUUGUGCUGUCAGAUUAUUUGUCAAAGUUUUGUUUGCAUCAUAGAUAAAGGUUUUAUUAUUAGUGGGAAAAAAUGAAGUGUGGUCUUCCCUGUCUCGAACGUGGCACCCAAGCUGUUGUGCCAGUGAUGUUGGUCUGGCAUUGUAGAUUUCACGGCGUUGUCCUGUAUUGAACCAUUUAUUUGGGUGCACUAUAAAAGUCCGCUUAGGUCAUCAA